rnacentral:misc_RNA from 1 species
UUCAGUAGGUGCAGAAAAAAUAAAAAAAGGGAAAGCAAAGGUGGAGAGGCUUGGAUGGAGUUUCUAUUGAUCCAGUCAAUCAACAGCAUGAUGACACAUCUUCUAUAACCCAAGGGGAAGCUGAUCAUACCACAGUAAAUCUGAUUUUCAUUAGUUUUAUUAGCUUACCAAGCUUCAGAAUGCAACUCCCUGUUGCUGUUACAUUACUACUUUAUCAAUCUAGGUGUUUGUUUCUCAACUUUCUUAGGAGUUCUCUUACUUACAUUUUUAAUUUGCUG